UACGUAGGGUGCGAGCGUUGUCCGGAAUCACUGGGCGUAAAGGGCGCGUAGGCGGCUUUUCAAGCGUGCGGUGAAAGCUCGGGGCUUAACUCCGAGUCUGCCGUGCGAACUGGGAGGCUUGAGUCUGGUAGAGGUCGAUGGAAUUCCGGGUGUAGCGGUGGAAUGCGUAGAGAUCCGGAAGAACACCAGCGGCGAAGGCGGCAUCCUGGCCCUGUACUGACGCUGAGGCGCGAUAGCGUGGGGAGCAAACGGG
rnacentral:rRNA from 1 species